rnacentral:rRNA from 1 species
GACGAACGCUGGCGGCGUGCUUAACACAUGCAAGUCGAACGGAAAGGCCCUGCCUUUGUGGGGUGCUCGAGUGGCGAACGGGUGAGUAACACGUGCGUAACCUGCCCUUGACUUUGGGAUAACUUCCGGAAACUGGGGCUAAUACCGGAUAGGAGCUCCUGCUGCAUGGUGGGGGUUGGAAAGUUUCGGCGGUUGGGGAUGGGCUCGCGGCUUAUCAGCUUGUUGGUGGGGUAGUGGCUUACCAAGGCUUUGACGGGUAGCCGGCCUGAGAGGGUGACCGGCCACAUUGGGACUGAGAUACGGCCCAGACUCCUACGGGAGGCAGCAGUGGGGAAUAUUGCACAAUGGGCGGAAGCCUGAUGCAGCAACGCCGCGUGCGGGAUGACGGCCUUCGGGUUGUAAACCGCUUUCGCCUGUGACGAAGCGUGAGUGACGGUAAUGGGUAAAGAAGCACCGGCUAACUACGUG